GAGGCUAAGCUAGUGGGAGCAAAGUUUCAGUGCAUUCCGUUGAUGUAGACGGCGUGAAAACGGAAACAAGUAUGCUGGCUCACUGUGCUGCAUACAGUUACACACUACGUCGUACGAUUGAGACAAGGAAACUUGGAAUGACUUUUCAUAGGUUUCCCAGAGACUAUGGGUUGAGGAGGAAUUGGAAGUUUGUCGGCUUAGACCUGGUGUCAUUCCAUCAGUGUUAAACUUCCUGGCUCAUCUUGGAAGAGUAUGUGCCAGAAAGACCACGACCAAGCAGCCUUGAGAUCUUAGGCAGCGUCUCCCUCAGACCAAAGAACUACAGACUCUUCACAACCUGCUCAAACUCUUGGUACAGGACCUCACCACACGGGUCAAGAAGGUUUCCAUCUCAUUUCUACUCUGAAGCUCACCUUCUCCUGCUCAAACUGCUGACAAAUGUUUCUGCUGCUCUAAAGUCUGGUCUCCAGAACUUCCUAAAAACUCUCAAAGGCUCUUCUGCUGCAGGUUGCUUUGUAGAACUGUUCCAGAAAACCUCACUAAACCACAUGGAGGGGCCUCAAGAUAGUCGUCCAAAUGAAACCGUACAAAAACCAAACGAGCACAACCCAAAAGCUAAAGUCUCCUGCAGCCUACCAGAGAACCUCUGAGAACAGAGAAUCAGGACAGGAACUCUUACCUUCUGGACAACCAACCUUGGUUCACAAACAAGAAUACAGAAUGUGUCUGACCAAAAACCUCUAAAGACUCACUACAGCCAAGAUACAGACACAACUGUACCAAAUCCACUAAUCACUGCACACAUUAGUACCAUGUGCUAACUGUGGCUAAAGAACCACCUUUACCAAGACAACUAUCCAGUACAAAGCCCUAAAACACACCAAGAAACACAUUAAAGACGAUUUUACUGCUGGAAGCUGCAAGCCAACGCCUGAAGUUGUAAAGCACUUUGUGUUGCAUUUUUAACUGUAUGAAAAGUGCUAUAUAAAUAAAGUUUGAUUUGAUUUGAUUUGAUUUGAUUUGAUAAAGAACAAACUACAGCAACAGAGCCAAACCCGGUUCACUGGUGAAGAGAAUCAGAGGAAAUGUUUGUCUGCAGCUAAAUAAAGCAGGAAGACGCUGAGCUGCUCAGGUGUUCCUGAUAACACCAAGCUGCUCAGGUGUUCCUAAUAACACCAAGCAGCCACCUGGACAGCCAAUAGGAACACAGCUUACUGGAAGUCCAGAGGGCUGGGUUAGUGAAGGAAAUUUAGUUUAAAGUUGAGGCAGAAAGUUAACAAAGAAAGUUGAAAACCACCUUCUGAUACCUGAAAUCUCUGAGUUUUCACACAAAGAAUGCCUGAACAUGUCAAACUGGUUCCAUAGUAGAACCAUCAUUGUAAAAACGUCAUAGUAUGGUGUGUUGCUCAAAAAACAUUAGGACCCAGCUGUCAGGGAACAAACAUGUAAGAAACAUGAGAACAGAGAGAACCCAACCAGUAGGUCACAGUUUAUCAUCCCCCAGUCAUCUCCUGAAGUCCAUAUGGUGAGAGACAUCAGUAUCUGGUUGUUAAUUUACCAGAGGAUGCUUAUAAUCAUGCUGAUGUGGUCUGUACUCUACAGUAUUUUAGUGACUCAAUAAAUGCCUAAGUUGUUUUUUUUAAAAAUGCUUUUUAGUUUUUAAUAAACAUUUAACAGCCUAUAUGUAAUCAAUAAAUGGCCUUUGCCUAUCUUAAGAAAAACUCACUCAGAACUCUGAUAUGUUAACAGUACUAAAUAAAUCAAUAAAUACAUGCAUACACACAUAAAUAAGUUAAUACAUUAACUGUGUUAAGAUAAGAUUUAGAUUUUAAAAAAAGUUGUUUAUGUUUUUGCAGAAUCCAGUAUUGCUCACUGGUUGGUCAUUACAUUUUGUUAGUUUGAUUUCACUGUUUAAAAUGAUGCCACCUCUUUUCAGACAGAACCUGUGAUAAUAAAACAAUACAAAAUUUUUAGUUCCGUGUUAAUAAAGCACUUAAAGCUUUAAGUAUGGCUAAAUGCUUUUUUCAAAAUUAAAUAUAUCACUCCUUAGGUGGUAGUGGCCCCAAGUUCAGUAAAGUUGGAAAGAUAUUCACAGAUUCGGGCUUCCAGCAUCAAUAACUCAUUAGAUAUAGGUUGUCAAAACAUAAACGGUGCCUCUUUCCCAUUGUUGCAAGGCAGACAAUGUGCUACAAGCCCAGUUUUAUCAAAAGUAGCUGUCUUUCAAGCUACAGGAAUAACAUUGGUGUCUAUGGAGUGAACAGGGUCCGUCUGCAAUUUGCAAAACCACUGCAACAGUAAAGAGAGACAAAUAUUCAAUAACUUCACUCUUAUACAUUGUAGUGUCACUAAAAUCACUGCAGCCUUCAACUGGCUCCUGUUGACAAAGUGUUUUAACAGAAAUGUAAAUGCUGUAAUUUGAUUCUUUUAAUGAACCAUGUAACUUGAAUGGAUGUGAUGCUGGUGUGACCACAGUGCACACGUCUGAUGUUGCUCACAGUGGUCCAAGGGACGCUCAGGGAGUUUGUGUGUUUGCUCAGACUCAUGAAAAAUUACAGGGAACAUUGUUUGGGACUCAAGCAGUUCCUUCUUUUACUCACUAUCUCCCCAGCCUUAGAAA